rnacentral:rRNA from 2 species
AACGCGAUUGAGGUUUUCGGCCUCAGUUGAGUGGCGAACGGGUGAGUAACACGUGGGUGACCUACCUUCGAAUGGGGGAUAACGUCCCGAAAGGGACGCUAAUACCGCAUAAUAUCCUGCUCUUGAAUGGGCGGAGAUCAAAGCUGGGGAUCGUAAGACCUGGCGUUUGAAGAGGGACCUGCGCCCGAUUAGCUAGUUGGUGGGGUAACGGCUCACCAAGGCAACGAUCGGUAGCCGGCCUGAGAGGGCGGACGGCCACACUGGGACUGAGACACGGCCCAGACUCC